GCUGACAAAGGCGGAAGAGGCCCAGACCCAGGGGAACAGCAGGAGAAGCGCGGAGGGCUCUGCGGCACCAGUCCUUUCAUUUCAUGGAGGAGAAAAUGGAGUGUCAGAAAAGUUAAGUGACACGUUGAAUUAACAGCAGAGUCAGAAACUGCUAUUUAGAAUGUAUUUGAAGGUUUGUAAAUGGUUGGACAUACCUUCCCAUGAGGGAAGGAGCAAGAAGUCUCAUCUCCAUUUUAUACAUUAAGAAACGAAGGUUAAGUUACUUGUCCAUUGUCACACAGCCAGCUAGUGUUGCAGAAUCUCAUCACCCACCUGUCGGGCACACCUUUGGAGCUCGGCUCUUCUGACUGGAAACUUCUCCUCCACCUCCGAGGUGCCGCCUCUGGAACUCCCAGGCCCAGCCCCCUGCAUAAGGCCUAACAACAGCUAACUCUGGAGGGGCUCACAGGAGAGGUGACUCUGGUUGGCAGUGUGCUAAGCAUUCUGACAUCUUGGCGUGGUGGCAGCUAUUUGUAUAGGUUUUGUUGUCGUUACAGCUACUGUUCCCAUAUGGACCUGGGAGGCUGCGGGGCUGCACCCUCCCUCUUCACUAAGAUGCCCCUCACAUCUCUGGGCCCAUGCAUUUACAUGGGGAGCCUGGCUUCUAAUAAAAUGGGUGAGUCUCCACAUUUUCUUAUAUUCUUUGUCUCGUUCCACACCCAUCCUGGAUCUCUAGGGAAAUCCUCAAAGCUUAACUUUGGCUCAAGUCUGGGGUCUCCCCAGAAGUGAGAGCGGAAAGGCACACAGGGUACAACAUGAAAUAGGUAUACGCCGGCUCAAAAGAAAUGCAAAAUAGAAAUGCAUAGAUUCAAACCAUGAAAAUGAAAAAACUUAAGUCAGUAUUUUCCUUAAGCUCAACAACAUCCAACGCCCUCCAGGUCCAUGUCCAUAUCUUUUUGACACAGAAACUCUACUUUCCAAAACAGUUCCCUUCAAGACUGGGCACGUGCAUUUCUUUGGGGUUUCUAUUUCAUCACCUAUACGAGGUAAGAUCCUAGGCUCCAUAGAUUCCCAAAGACUUCUGCCACAGAUUUCAAGGAGCCCAUAAACUUAAAUGGCCCCCCCAAAAAAGACAUCUUUAUUUUCACUAACCUCUAAAACUUAGUAUUUCAUUUAGUUAUUCUGAGAAGGGGGCCAAACUGCUAAAGGGGGGCUAUGCCAUUAAAUAAAAAAGAUUAAGAACCCAUGACUUACAUACUCAGGAAAGAAGUAAGCCAGAAGUAGAGAGGUGCCCAGGAGUGAGGUUUUAGCUGUCAUUGUGAAGAUGACACUCUCUACUGUGAGGUUUAAAUUAAUAUCCAAUAACUCCAAAUAUUAUAUUUUAUUAAGUUUAUUAAUAAUCACUUGAAGUAGAAAGAAAAUAAACUAAAAGAAAUAGUUCAAAGUUAAUUAUCUAACAAAAAGUAAACCCACAUGUGUAGAUUCUCCUGCCUGGCAUAAAGUCAGCUUCUGCCACUGGGAUCACAUGAAGAGAGAGAAUGAGACAGGCUACACAAAACUUAUAUCCUCCCUCCGUUCGCAGGUAACAUGAGAAGGAACAUGGAAUGCUGGGACAGAGAGUUUCUGGGGAGCACAUUCUGAUUGCACACUACCCUUACCCCUUCCCUUCCAAGGAGAGACUUGAAGAGACACGACUAUAUCUUUUAAUGAAAAGGGAAGAGAUCUAGAAGACAAAGUCGCUUUCUUUAGAAGAUUCACUGAGUCUUCUUCAGCUCAGAGGCCAAUACAGUGAUUGCUGCUUCCUUUUCCCCAAACCCUUAACUCCUUUAGUCCUUGAGCUGGUUCCCAAGAAGGGGUCAGGAAUGAUGAGUGCCCAUUGCUCCACCUCCUUUCCCAGUUAGAAACAAGGGCCCAGUUGGACUGUUUUAUGCUAAGGAAAAAAUAUAUCUAUUAUUUUGUGCAAAACAAGACAAGAUACUCAAGGCCAUGAGACCACUGUCGGUCUUUCCCUUGGGCUCUUCCUCCUGCCAAGGGAUGGGACUCUGACUCACUCAGAUAGGGUCUGCCUCAUCUCCUCUCCAUGCAUGCAUUCAUAUGCCAUUACCUUACCUGGGCAGCAGUAUUAUAUAAUCUAGUCCCAAACAUCUCUCCUUUUCCUGCUCAAUUUCCCAGGACUAAACUAUAAACAGGACUUAAAUUAGUACCCAACAUAUGCUUGAAGUUCCUCGUCCUCUCCCCUACUUCUGACCUCACUAACACAUGAUGGCUUCCUGCUCCUGAAGUAUUUAGUUCCUUUGUUUCUAUAACUGUAUAAAUAUUAUGUUAUAUACAUGGAAAAGUUGGUCUGAAAAGAUGCAUGGCUAGAGGAAAUCAAUUGGAGCAAUCUGCUCGCUAAGUAAGCAUUGUGUCCAGAUUCAUGGGGUAAAGGAACAAGGGGGAUGGGAGUAGGAGAGGGAGUUAUGCCCACACCAAUGAAAUCACAAGUAUUUCG